AAUAAUGAAAAUAAAAACACAGCGAUCAGUAAUCUAAAGCACAAUUAAACCCAUUAUCAGGACAGAACAGAAAAAACAGCAAGCCAAUAAAGUCGUGACAGAUCUACAUUAAGCCAGGAUGGCGUAGAAGCUAAAGCUCCAAAAAACGUAGUCUAGUUCAGGCUGAACAAAAACAUUUUUGGAUCCAACUUUUUUGUCUCACAAUAACUUUCAUAUGACAUAGAAAUAACGAGACGACAACAUACCUGUACGCUGUCCGCCAUUGGUAUUUCUAAGUCAAAACGAAUAUUUGAUAUGGAGCAUGGAGAGAGACGGCGAACUUUGAACCAGAAGCUCUGAAAAAAAUGAAAGGAAAUCAACUUACUCUAGACAUAAAAUAUUGAAAUUGGAUAGGCGUAUCAAAAAGAUCUGUGAUGACGUCUUCGUCUUGUUGAUCAUCAAUCUGUAAUGGAAAAGUGCUUAGCCUUUUUUUAAGUGCGUGCAGUGUAGUCGUUGACUUUGUUUAAUAAUGAAAAACCAUCUACAUCAAGUUACGUUAAAUAAUCUGGGUGAACAAAACAUGUUUACAAAAACCAAUAAAACAACAAUAUUCAAU